rnacentral:rRNA from 1 species
AUACAGAGGGUGCAAGCGUUAAUCGGAAUUACUGGGCGUAAAGCGCGCGUAGGCGGUUUGAUUAGUCGGAUGUGAAAUCCCUGGGCUCAACCUGGGAACUGCACUCGAAACUGUCUGACUAGAGUAUGGUAGAGGGUGGUGGAAUUCCUAGUGUAGCGGUGAAAUGCGUAGAUAUUAGGAGGAACAUCAGUGGCGAAGGCGACCACCUGGACCAAUACUGACGCUGAGGUGCGAAAGCGUGGGGAGCAAACAGGAUUAGAAACCCUAGUAGUCC